AAUCCAUAGGUUAAUGAGGCGAACCGGGGGAACUGAAACAUCUAAGUACCCCGAGGAAAAGAAAUCAACCGAGAUUCCCCCAGUAGCGGCGAGCGAACGGGGAGGAGCCCAGAGCCUGAAUCAGCAUGUGUGUUAGUGGAAGCGUCUGGAAAGGCGCGCGAUACAGGGUGACAGCCCCGUACACAAAAGCGCAUGUGCUGUGAGCUCGAUGAGUAGGGCGGGACACGUGGUAUCCUGUCUGAAUAUGGGGGGACCAUCCUCCAAGGCUAAAUACUCCUGACUGACCGAUAGUGAACCAGUACCGUGAGGGAAAGGCGAAAAGAACCCCGGCGAGGGGAGUGAAAAAGAACCUGAAACCGUGUACGUACAAGCAGUGGGAGCACAGGUUUACCUGUGUGACUGCGUACCUUUUGUAUAAUGGGUCAGCGACUUAUAUUCUGUAGCAAGGUUAACCGAAUAGGGGAGCCGGAGGGAAACCGAGUCUUAAUUGGGCGUUAAGUUGCAGGGUAUAGACCCGAAACCCGGUGAUCUAGCCAUGGGCAGGUUGAAGGUUGGGUAACACUAACUGGAGGACCGAACCGACUAAUGUUGAAAAAUUAGCGGAUGACCUGUGGCUGGGGGUGAAAGGCCAAUCAAACCGGGAGAUAGCUGGUUCUCCCCGAAAGCUAUUUAGGUAGCGCCUCGUGAAUUCAUCUCCGGGGGUAGAGCACUGUUUCGGCUAGGGGGCCAUCCCGGCUUACCAACCCGAUGCAAACUGCGAAUACCGGAGAAUGUUAUCACGGGAGACACACGGCGGGUGCUAACGUCCGUCGUGAAGAGGGAAACAACCCAGACCGCCAGCUAAGGUCCCAAAGUCAUGGUUAAGUGGGAAACGAUGUGGGAAGGCCCAGACAGCCAGGAUGUUGGCUUAGAAGCAGCCAUCAUUUAAAGAAAGCGUAAUAGCUCACUGGUCGAGUCGGCCUGCGCGGAAGAUGUAACGGGGCUAAACCAUGCACC
rnacentral:rRNA from 1 species